rnacentral:rRNA from 1 species
GUCUAUGGCCACGCCCCCCUGAACAAGCCCGAGCCCAUCUGAUCUCAGAAGCUAAGCAGGGUUGGGCCUAGUUAGUACUUGGAUGGGAGUCCACCUAGGAAUUCUGGGUGCUGUAGGCU